GGCUCACCUAGGCGACGAUCCCUAGCUGGUCUGAGAGGAUGACCAGCCACACUGGAACUGAGACACGGUCCAGACUCCUACGGGAGGCAGCAGUGGGGAAUAUUGCACAAUGGGCGCAAGCCUGAUGCAGCCAUGCCGCGUGUAUGAAGAAGGCCUUCGGGUUGUAAAGUACUUUCAGCGGGGAGGAAGGCGAUAAGGUUAAUAACCUUGUCGAUUGACGUUACCCGCAGAAGAAGCACCGGCUAACUCCGUGCCAGCAGCCGCGGUAAUACGGAGGGUGCAAGCGUUAAUCGGAAUUACUGGGCGUAAAGCGCACGCAGGCGGUCUGUCAAGUCGGAUGUGAAAUCCCCGGGCUCAACCUGGGAACUGCAUUCGAAACUGGCAGGCUAGAGUCUUGUAGAGGGGGGUAGAAUUCCAGGUGUAGCGGUGAAAUGCGUAGAGAUCUGGAGGAAUACCGGUGGCGAAGGCGGCCCCCUGGACAAAGACUGACGCUCAGGUGCGAAAGCGUGGGGAGCA
rnacentral:rRNA from 1 species